UUGAGUGGAGGCAGGACAAGUCGCUGAAUUUGGAUUGGCUGGCCCUUCAAUCGCUCUUCUAUGUACGCGCGAUUUCGUGUGCCUCUUUUAAAAUCUCGAAACAGGCCGUUGAUCACGUGUCCUUCCAUGCGCACAACAGGUGGCAAUCGAAUCUGAUGAGAGAUGGGGCGCCAUCAAAAUGGGCCGUCGCCUCCCGCAUUGCAUGCCGAUCUAGAUGAGUAGUUUGAGAUUGCUGCUGCUGUGUGUCAACGGAAGAUGAAGCCCGUAGCUGGGAGGCCUGUGCUGCUGGCUGGUGCUGCUGGACGACCAUUUGAUGCUGCUGCGUAUCCAUUUGCGGUAUGGCUCCUCCGAUUCGGUACGUAUUUGGCAGGUCCCUUCGUAGAGGUUUAGUGGCCAGGGCUGGAGCAUGGUGGAGGGAGUCGCUGAGGGUGUUUUGCAACAGUUUGAUGUUAGAUCCUACAGGCAAAAGUCUUCGAUUGUCAGGAAGUAAGUUUGGGUGCUGGUCCAUCGUGAUGUGUUCAAAAACAGAAUAAACUCCAAAGUCAAUGGCUGAGGGAUUUUUUCGCCGGUCGUGUGGGAAAUGAGUAGGAUCACCCGUCGCCAGGAUUUCCAGUUUCCUGUCAGCCUGGAUCACUUCAAGGAGAGUUCUGCCGCGUUUACAUGACCUUGAAUUACCCCACUUUUUAAGGUAAGGCGUUUGAUCCGCCUGGCCUCAGUCUUUCGAUUGAGGCCGCUUUUUAUUUUUUGCCCUUUCACCUACAAGGGUAUAUAGCAAAAAUUUAAAUUUAAAAGGCCGUUACAGCAGCAGGGGCGGGGGAUUAACAUUAUCUUAAAACUAGAUUAAUACUAAA